rnacentral:rRNA from 1 species
AGAACGAACGCUGGCGGCAUGCCUAACACAUGCAAGUCGAACGAGACCUUCGGGUCUAGUGGCGCACGGGUGCGUAACGCGUGGGAAUCUGCCCUUGGGUACGGAAUAACAGCGAGAAAUUGCUGCUAAUACCGUAUAAUGACUUCGGUCCAAAGAUUUAUCGCCCAGGGAUGAGCCCGCGUAGGAUUAGCUUGUUGGUGAGGUAAAGCUCACCAAGGCGACGAUCCUUAGCUGGUCUGAGAGGAUGAUCAGCCACACUGGGACUGAGACACGGCCCAGACUCCUACGGGAGCAGCAGGUAGGGAAUAGUUGGACAAGUGGGACG